UUGAGCUAACCGGUACUAAUGACCCGUGAGGCUUAACCUUACAACGCCAGAGGCGUU
rnacentral:rRNA from 2 species